CUAGUUCCAUCAACUCAGAUUUUAACAUAAAUCCGAACGGUAGCUAUUAGGAGUGAACGAUUAUUUUAUCAAAUUCUAUUAUCGCUUCUAGAAAUAGACCUAACUUGUUUUUGUAAACUGAGAAGAUGGCAUCUGGCUUAAUUGCUGUGUAUUCUAUCGUAGCCUACUGUAGGGACGUAUAAAAUCUAACCAUUGAAUCUAUUCAGUCAAAGUAGUAUAAACUGUGCUCUCACUUUUCGGUUUUGCCUCAGUGUAUUGCAAUCAUGAUUAAGUUUAUUGUGUUUGCGAUAAUUUUUGCAAUUACAUUGAGCCAAAUUGCUGGCCUUCCAACGGUGAGUACAGUUGUUAACGUUGGGGGUUUGCCUGUGGCUGCACAGCCGGUUAGAGCUGCACCACUUCCUUUACUCCUACUUCCCUUUCCAGGAGCAGUUUCUGUUUCCGGACCUGGGUUCGGAGUUUAUACUUCAUGGGGUUGAUCUUCGAUAACAAGCCAAGCACAAAUGCCUACAUUGACAGUUCUACUGUUUAAAAUAUAUUAUAAUAAUAUGCAAAUAAGAUGUUUAAGUAUAGUUUCAAAGAGUAGACUUUCGAGAGUAUGAUGACAUUCAAGAAAGACGUUUGAUUAGCUAGAAUGAAUAGCAGCAAUAAGAUAAUACUGCAAGUCCGUGGUGCUUUAGUCCAAUUUCACUCAUCAUACCAUUAAACUUUCACACAAUAAUCAAACAUAGUGACUGAUUUAUGGAAAUCACAAUCAUUCAUACAUGGAGAUAAAUGUUUUCAUAAAUCAAUAACGAUGUAUUGAAACAAGAUAAGUUUUAUAUUAGCAAGAUCAGCAUUAUAAAAACUUGACAAUAUUUCUAAAGUAUUAUUUAGCCUAUUAUGGAGAAUAAUUUGUCAAAUUAUUAACAGCCUAUUUUAACUAUUAAAGGCUGAUUAUUCCGAUGAUUAGAAAUAAUAUAUUUAAGAAUAGUGACUUGAGAAAAAAAAUUACUACAGUUUAUUUCAAAACUGGGAUUCAACACAGAUAUUGUGAAAGGUAACACGUUUGUAAAAUAUUGUAUCACUAUUCUUCAUGUAGUGUGUUAUGUAAUGUAUCUUACAUCAUUUAUUUAAACUGUUUGAAGAGAAUAUAAUUUGGUUUUAUUUUAUUAUCAAGAACAGUUCAAAUAAAAAUAAAUCACUAUUUUAAGGAAUAUUUAUUUCGAAAUACCCUCAAUUACUUUCAUAAUACAGUAAUAGAAAAUACAAUACACAAGAUAGGUAGGCUAGUAAAACUAGAGUGAUCGAAUACAAAUCAUACAAAAUAAAAUUCACAGUACCUGAAAAUAGUUUUCAUGCUGCCAUGAAUUGAGAAUACAUCCACAAUGUGAGUUCUUUUCUCCGAAUCACAAUCACUUCAGGAAUAUAGAACUGAUUAUCAAGUGUGACUUCCUUCUAGAAAACUGUUUAUGAAAAAUAAAUUUUUAUACAGGAGGUUUUCAAGCACCACGCGUUUGGAAUCUUUUACUGGUGACAUUUUUCAAAGUAUUUUGAUUGUUUCGAUACUAUCUAGUUACCAAAAACUUAUGGUUUUUACUUUUUUAGAUAUCAGCGCUUAAAACUGUAAUCUUGAGGGAGAUUCAUUUCCGAAUUGGUGGCAAGUGAAUACCUGAAAUUUUGAGGAUACAUUUUCCAAGAUACUGUUCAACUCAUGACAUAUAUUUGAUUCCUCAGAAUAUCAAUUCCAGGAAAAUGUAUUCCAUUUUGAAAAAAUAUCCCAGGUAAACUGGAAUAAAUUUCCCUUCAAUUGAAACUCUGAGGUGACAAAUAUUAGAAGGUAUCAGAAUCUAUUAUGGAUUUUACUUUAAAAAAUGUCAUCAAUAAAAAGUUUCAAAAGCGAGGUGCACAACCAUAAUCCUUAUUUGAUUUCUCUACAAAUCUUUUAAAUAGUGAGAAUUAUAGAAUAAUUAUUCAUGUAUCUUGGUUACAACUCACUAGAGCUGAAUGGUUGUUUGUAAAAUUGAUUGAUAACAAAUAUGGAGUAAAACUCAAAUUCCUUUGCUUGAUUUAAUAAAUGAUCAGAUUUGGGCCGUCAGAAUAGACCACAAGUGUCUGAAAGCUUAACAAUUAUUGAAAUAAAGGAUCUCUUGUCUGUUGGAUUUUAUAUCCAACUUAUAAUGAUUCAAAACAAGAUCACGGGAUAAAAUGGAAGCAAAUCUAUGUCAUUUUAUUAUUUAUUAAUCAAUUUGUACAAACUCACUUAUAAUUAACAUAAUAUUGGAAGAGAGAAAAAAAGACGAAUCAUGUAAUAUUCCUCAAAAAUACCCUUUAAUACUCCUUUUCAAAAUUUAGAUUAAUACCAGUUCAAAAUAAGAUGAUAAUUUAUUAAUUCUAUUUGAUUUAUUAAUGAUAAUUUAUUUAUUUUACUUUAUAAUUUAUACAUCGGAGUAAAUCUGUAACAUAACCUUGAAAAUAUCAUUGGAAUUUUUAUUAUUUUAAUUUGAAUUAAGUUGAAUUAUUAAUUCAAUUAAUUAUUAAACUAUUCAUUUAAUUUAUUAUUUUAAUUACAAAUUAUAUUAAUUCAUUUUUAUUUAUUUUCGAGCAUUUAACAGUUUUUUGUAAUACUGUGUAAAAAAGUGAAACCAAGAAACUAAUUCACUGUUAUAAAUAGGAGGAAUAUAUAUUUUUAACCUAGUUGUUGAAAACUUUCAUAGUGACUAGUGAAAACACUAAACUGGUCAAGUGCUCGAAAUGAUAUGUAAGGAAUGAAUAAAUUACAAACUAUGUUGUUUUAAAAAUUCUUGAGUUAUGGAUUUAGUUGUUGCACUUGAAGUCUCAUUUGCAUCUAAAUAUUCUAGAGAAACACGGAAAGAAUUCUUAUAUGUAAUUCAAAUAUGAAUUUUCGUAUCUACCGAAAAUACACGGAGCUACACAGCCCGGUAAAUCAUAGUCUUCUCGGAGAAUAACAGAAUAUUUAUAAAUAUUUAGAGAACGGUAGUCGGUGGGAAUAUGUUUUGUAAGAAUUUAUCUAAAUUUAGGCAUUAACAACGAUGUAUGUGAAUUAGGAACUGAUUAAAGAACAUAGAAUUUCAUUCUUACUUUGUAAAUAUACAAGUAGAUAAUUCCACACUAUGAUAAAUAUUGAUUAUGAAAAUAAAAAUGGGAGAAAUUGAGCAGAGUUUUAGCUGAAAGUGAGAGGGUAGGCUAUAUCUGUAUGAUAAGAAUAGACGAAUCAUACGAUGUAUGUGGAGUGCUUUUCUUGGAUCAGUAGAUGUCAAUGAGACUUCAAAAGUAAAAGAUCUGAUUUGGAAUCCAAAUAGAAUGAAAGCGAAAUAUCUAAAAGAUGAGAUUAGGUAGAUUCUAGAAAACUGUAAUUAUACGAAUUUUAAAAGUGAAAAUUGAAUUGAAAAUGGGCCUAUAAAAUUUUCAAUGGACCACCGGAGUUCACAAGAUGUAUCCUCUAUACAUGUAAGAUGAUAGUUCUAGCAAACUACUUUAAUCAACUUGAUAAGUUUUAUUUAGUAUUAUAUUAAUAGUAAUAUAUUACUAUUCAGAUAUAAUAACCACCUCGAAAAUUGAUUUUCACGAAAUUCAGAGCGCGCGAGGUCGUUUCGAAGGCAUAUCCCAUCAAAAUACGUGUUUUCAAAAAAAAAAAAAAAACUUUUGAAUAGGUUAUACAAAAACUAUUACACUAAGAGGAGUACUAUGAUUACUAUGAUGACUGGUAAAGGAUCCAGUUCAAUGAUGAAUCGUAUAGUUUAAAAUCAAUCAUAUUAAUAAAUUAUUGCUCAUACAUUCUUUUGAUAGUUGAAAAAACUUUUCAAAAUUUGUACUUUUCUUUCAAGACUUAUUGAUUUAUUUUUAGAUUAUUAACAAUAUUUAUUUUUGAUUAUUCACAAUUUCAAGAUUAUUCAUCUUAUUUAUAUUCAAAUGAGACAUCCCAAUGUUACUUUGUUACCGUAUAUUAUUCGAAAGGGCACACUUGAAGAAUUAUUGAUAAAUAACGCUUAAUAGUUUCCUUAUUGAUUAAUAGUUGUAACGCUUCAAUUUCUUAGGCUUGUGAAGGUCAUGAAUGUUUACCAUCAUAAAUAUUUAUCCACAGAAACACAGGAAUAUAAUUGAAAGUUACAGUUGUUUUCAUCAAAAGCCUUAUUAAUCAAAUUCAUAUAAAGAAUAAUUGCAUUCAAAUUUUCACAAACAAAGUAGGCUUAAAAGUUGUUCACCAAAUUGGUUAGUCUUCUAUUUGUUUCAGCUUUUUUUGUUAAAUAACUAUUGUUGGCCUAGUAUUGAGAUGUGUGUCCUUUUUUUGGAAUUUCCUUACAGUCAAUUGAAUUGAAAAUGAAUAUAAAAUAAGGAGAGAUAGUCAUUGGCCAUAAUAGGGGCUCUCUUACUUCCGGAUUGUCUAAACAGCACUUACAAUGCAUAUUAUGCAAUGGAUGUUGCAAAAAAGUAGCAUCUAGUUAGAUCUUUAGGGACAAAUGAGCCGAAUAGAAGUGCUAAAAGAUAACAGAGAAAAAAAA